rnacentral:rRNA from 1 species
UACGUAGGGUGCGAGCGUUAAUCGGAAUUACUGGGCGUAAAGGGUGCGCAGGCGGUCUCGUAAGCUGGGUGUGAAAGCCCCGGGCUUAACCUGGGAAUGGCAUUCAGGACUGCGAGGCUUUGAGUGCGGCAGAGGGAGGUGGAAUUCCACGUGUAGCAGUGAAAUGCGUAGAGAUGUGGAGGAACACCAGUGGCGAAGGCGAGUCUCUGGACAGUUACUGACACUGAGGCACGAAGGCCAGGGGAGCAAACGGG